rnacentral:lncRNA from 1 species
CUGAAUUAUAGGUUCAUCACUGAUAUUGUAGAUGAUAAUGGUGAAUGAUUGUCUCAUGACGCUAUUGACCAAGUGUAUUACCUGCAUGUUACGUUUGUAGACAUUUUAUACACUGUAACUGAAAAUAUGUGUUUAUUACUUAACACAUUUCCUCCUAAUAGUUAAAAGUUAAGGCGGUGUCACAGAGUAAAUAUAUAUAAAUAAAGGGUAUGUAAUACAAAGUUUCCCAUCGAAACAGGAAGAUGGAGAAAUGUACCAUGAAAUGAGAGAAUUUGUCCUC